UACGUAGGGUGCGAGCGUUGUCCGGAAUUACUGGGCGUAAAGAGCUCGUAGGUGGUUUGUCGCGUUGUCCGUGAAAACUCACAACUCAAUUGUGGGCGUGCGGGCGAUACGGGCAGACUGGAGUACUGCAGGGGAGACUGGAAUUCCUGGUGUAGCGGUGGAAUGCGCAGAUAUCAGGAGGAACACCGGUGGCGAAGGCGGGUCUCUGGGCAGUAACUGACGCUGAGGAGCGAAGCGUGGGGAGCGAACAGGA
rnacentral:rRNA from 1 species